GACGAACGCUGGCGGCGUGCCUAAUACAUGCAAGUCGAACGCAGUGGGGACGGGUGAGUAACACGUGGGUAACCUCCCAUCAGAGGGGAUAACACUUGGAAACAGGUGCUAAACCGAUACUGAUGGAUGAACCCGCGGUGCAUUAGCUAGUUGGUGAAGUAACGGCUCAGCAAGGCCACGAUGCAUAGCCGACCGGCGAGAGUGAGCGGCCACACUGGGACAGGGACACGGCCCAGAGUCCGACGGGAGGCAGCAGUAGGGAAUCUUCUGCAAUGGACGAAAGUCUGAGCGAGCAACGCCGCGGGAGUGAAGAGGGUUUUCGGAUCGUAAAGCUCUGUUGUUGGAGAAGCGGUAUCUAACCAGAAAGCCACGGCUAACUACGUGCCAGCAGCCGCGGUAAUUC
rnacentral:rRNA from 1 species